rnacentral:rRNA from 1 species
AAGACCUUGCGCUUUUGGAGCGGCCGAUGCCUGAUUAGCUUGUUGGUAAGGUAAAAGCUUACCAAGGCUUCGAUCAGUAGCUGGUCUGAGAGGACGGCCAGCCACACUGGGACUGAGACACGGCCCAGACUCUUACGGGAGGCAGCAGUGGGGAAUUUUGGACAAUGGGGGCAACCCUGAUCCAGCCAUGCCGCGUGAGUGAAGAAGGCCUUCGGGUUGUAAAGCUCUUUCAGCCGGAACGAAACGGUUACGGUUAAUACCCGUGACUACUGACGGUACCGGAAGAAGAAGCACCGGCUAACUACGUGCCAGCAGCCGCGGUAAUACGUAGGGUGCGAGCGUUAAUCGGAAUUACUGGGCGUAAAGCGUGCGCAGGUGGUUUUGUAAGUCAGAUGUGAAAGCCCCGGGCUCAACCUGGGAACU